rnacentral:rRNA from 1 species
UAGGGGAAUCUUCCACAAUGGACGAAAGUCUGAUGGGGCAACGCCGCGUGAGUGAAGAAGGGUUUCGGCUCGUAAAACUCUGUUGUUAAAGAAGAACAUAUCUGAGAGUAACUGUUCAGGUAUUGACGGUAUUUAACCAGAAAGCCACGGCUAACUACGCGCCAG